UUGUAGAUUUGAAGACACAAUCACACACAAGAUGGAGACGGCUGGGGAGGAAAAGCGUUCACUUGUCCUUCCCUCUAGGAGCUUCAACAAGGCUGGAUAUCGGGUGGAUACUCCUCCAAAAGACCAGCAGCAAUGGAUCACGAGGCAAAGAGCAGCGAAGCGAGUACAAUGAUGGAGAGAACGAGAGGGGCGGAGUCAGUGACCAGUUGCUAUGACAACAUAUGAUGGAAGAGUUACAAGGUGACACUGUAGAGUUUGCGUACGACCCAUUGGACGUCUUGCACUGCAGAUAAAGGAACACAAUUAAGAAAUAAUUCUUGAGGGUCAGUUGUUCCCUCUGUUGGAUGCUGAUGAUGAUCCAGCCAUUGGACGUCAGAGAAAAAUACAAUCGACCUAAGAAACAGUGAGUACUGCCGCGUGCAGAGUGUGACUCUUUCCCUGACCAAACUUUGAUCUGAGCAUAUUCAUGUGAUAGGCCUUAUCUAACAGUGCUUGGAAUAGUUAUUCGCUGUACUCCCCCCUAGUGUUUACGUUCCCGUGGGUGGGUUCAAUUCACUAGCAAUAGUUUUGCGUUCCCGUGAGUGGGUUCAAUUCACUAGCAAUAGUUUUACGUUCCCGUGGGUGGGUUCAAUUCACUAGCAAUAGUUUUGCGUUCCCGUGGGUGGGUUCAAUUCACCAGCAAUAGUUUUGCGUUCCCGUGAGUGGGUUCAAUUCACUAGCAAUAGUUUUGCGUUCCCGUGAGUGGGUUCAAUUCACUAGCAAUAGUUUUGCGUUCCCGUGAGUGGUCACUAGCAAUAGUUUUGCGUUCCCGUGAGUGGGUUCAAUUAAUUCACUAGCAAUAGUUUUACGUUCCCGUGAGUGGGUUCAUUUCACUAGCAAUAGUUUUGCGUUCCCGUGAGUGGGUUCAAUUCACUGACAAUAGUUUUACGUUCCCGUGAGUGGGUUCAAUUCACUAGCAAUAGUUUUGCGUUCCCGUGGGUGGGUUCAAUUCACUAGCAAUAGUUUUGCGUUCCCGUGGGUGGGUUCAAUUCACUAGCAAUAGUUUUACGUUCCCGUGAGUGGGUUCAAUUCACUAGCAAUAGUUUUACGUUCCGUGAGUGGGUUCAAUUCACUAGCAAUAGUUUUAAGUUCCCGUGAGUGGUCACUAGCAAUAGUUUUGCAUUCCCAUGAGUGGGUUCAAUUCACUAGCAAUAGUUUUGCGUUCCCGUGGGUGGGUUCAAUUCACUAGCAAUAGUUUUACGUUCCCGUGAGUGGGUUCAAUUCACUAGCAAUAGUUUUACGUUCCGUGAGUGGGUUCAAUUCACUAGCAAUAGUUUUAAGUUCCCGUGAGUGGUCACUAGCAAUAGUUUUGCAUUCCCAUGAGUGGGUUCAAUUCACUAGCAAUAGUUUUGCGUUCCCGUGGGUGGGUUCAAUUCACUAGCAAUAGUUUUAAGUUCUCGUGAGUGGUCACUAGAAUAGUUUUGCGUUCCCAUGAGUGGGUUCAAUUCACUAGCAAUAGUUUUGCGUUCCCGUGGGUGGGUUCAAUUCACUAGCAAUAGUUUUAAGUUCUCGUGAGUCGGUCACUAGCAAUAGUUUUGCGUUCCCAUGGGUGGGUUCAAUUCACUAGCAAUAGUUUUAAGUUCCUGUGAGUGGUCACUAGCAAUAGUUUUGCGUUCCCGUGGGUGGGUUCAAUUCACUAGCAAUAGUUUUGCGUUCCCGUGAGUGGGUUCAAUUCACUAGCAAUAGUUUUACGUUCCGUGAGUGGGUUCAAUUCACUAGCAAUAGUUUUACGUUCCCGUGAGUGGGUUCAAUUCACUAGCAAUAGUUUUAAGUUCUCGUGAGUGGUCACUAGCAAUAGUUUUGCGUUCCCGUGGGUGGGUUCAAUUCACUAGCAAUAGUUUUGCUUUCCCGUGGGUGGGUUCAAUUCACUAGCAAUAGUUUUGCGUUCUCGUAAGUGGGUUCAAUUCACUAGCAAUAGUUUUGCAUUCCCUUGAGUGGGUUCAAUUCACUAGCAAUAGUUUUACGUUCCCGUGAGUGGGUUCAAUUCACUAGCAAUAGUUUUAAGUUCCCGUGAGUGGGUUCAAUUCACUAGCAAUAGUUUUGCGUUCCCGUGAGUGGGUUCAAUUCACUAGCAAUAGUUUUGCGUUCCCAUGAGUGGGUUCAAUUCACUAGCAAUAGUUUUGCGUUCCCGUGGGUGGGUUAAAUUCACUAGCAAUAGUUUUAAGUUCUCGUGAGUGGUCACUAGCAAUAGUUUUGCGUUCCCAUGAGUGGGUUCAAUUCACUAGCAAUAGUUUUGCGUUCCCGUGGGUGGGUUCAAUUCACUAGCAAUAGUUUUAAGUUCUC